UACGUAGGGUGCAAGCGUUAAUCGGAAUUACUGGGCGUAAAGCGUGCGCAGGCGGUUCUAUAAGACAGCUGUGAAAUUCCCGGGCUCAACCUGGGAACUGCAUUUGUGACUGUAGAGCUGGAGUACGGCAGAGGGGGAUGGAAUUCCGCGUGUAGCAGUGAAAUGCGUAGAUAUGCGGAGGAACACCGAUGGCGAAGGCAAUCCCCUGGGCCUGUACUGACGCUCAUGCACGAAAGCGUGGGGAGCAAACAGG
rnacentral:rRNA from 1 species